GGGGUAUGCUCAGAGCAGGAAGCCUGAAGAAUGGCUCACUGUUUAUAACAUACCCCACAGAAACCCGGGGCUGCUGGGACUAAGACGCCGCCCUGUGGUUUCCCUGCCACCAGAUGCCCUGCACAC
ensembl:snoRNA